CCUACGGGAGGCAGCAGUAGGGAAUCUUUCACAAUGGGCGAAAGCCUGAUGGAGCAACGCCGCGUGCAGGAUGAAGGCCUUCGGGUUGUAAACUGCUUUUAUAAGCGAGAAAUAUGAUGGUAACUUAUGAAUAAGGAUCGGCUAACUACGUGCCAGCAGCCGCGGUCAUACGUAGGAUCCGAGCAUUAUCCGGAGUGACUGGGUGUAAAGAGUUGCGUAGGUUGCAUAAUAAGUAGCUAGUGAAAUCUGGUGGCUCAACCAUUCAGACUAUUAGCUAAACUGUUAAGCUCGAGACCGUUAGGGGUAACUGGAAUUUCUAGUGUAGGAGUGAAAUCCGUAGAUAUUAGAAGGAACACCAAUAGCGUAGGCAGGUUGCUGGGACGGUUCUGACACUAAGGCACGAAAGCGUAGGGAGCAAACGGGAUUAGAUACCCGAGUAGUC
rnacentral:rRNA from 1 species